UACGUAGGUGGCAAGCGUUGUCCGGAUUUACUGGGCGUAAAGGGCGUGCAGGCGGUCUGUUAAGUGCAGGGUGAAAGCUCCCGGCUCAACUGGGAGAGGUCCUUGCAUACUGGCGGACUUGAGGGGGGUAGAGGAAAGUGGAAUUCCCGGUGUAGUGGUGAUAUGCGUAGAUAUCGGGAGGAACACCUGUGGCGAAGGCGGCUUUCUGGGCCCUACC
rnacentral:rRNA from 1 species